rnacentral:rRNA from 1 species
UACGUAGGUGGCAAGCGUUGUCCGGAUUUAUUGGGUUUAAAGGGUGCGUAGGUGGCUAUCUAAGUCAGUGGUGAAAUAUCUCAGCUUAACUGAGAGGGUGCCAUUGAUACUGGAUAGCUUGAGUACAGAUGAGGUAGGCGGAAUUGACGGUGUAGCGGUGAAAUGCAUAGAUAUCGUCAAGAACACCGAUAGCGAAGGCAGCUUACCAAGCUGUAACUGACACUGAGGCACGAAAGUGUGGGGAUCAAACAGG